UGGAGAGACAGGCACAGAGAACUAAAGUCACUUGUGCAAGAUAGAACUUCCAGGGCUGGAGGUCCUGAAAGGGUGGCACUUUCUAGGCUGCGAAACAGGUGAAGGUGUACAGCGGGAUGUUUUGAUACACGUAGUGAAAUGAUGACCACGGUGGAAUUAUGUGGUUUGAAUGGGGCCGGAAUGGCUGGCUUUGAGGCUGCUAGGGAGGAAGCUGGCCACAGGAUGGCACCAUUGGCCCAGGAAUGGGAGCAAGCCAUCUGCAGCCCGCCCAGCCUGCAUGGUACCCCUCCAGCCCCUACAGAUGCAGAAGGUUGAGCAAGCUAGAAACCACUGGAAAAAUCAUCGGAAAAAGCAAGAUCUGCUUCCAGCAAAAUCCCAGCCAACAACAAGAUGGAAUGAUUUGAUGAUGAAACUGAGCACCAUUCGGACUGUACGAGCUGGAUUUUAUUAGUUUGUUUUGAAUGUCCUCUGGGGGUGGGUGGGGGUGGGGUGGGUAGGCUCAGUCUUGUGUGAGCCUUGGCCCUGGCACCAGCCCACGGCAGAGCUGGAAGUGUGGGACCUGGGGCCAGACUGCCUGGUUGGAAUCUCAGCUAGAUCUCAUACUAGCCAUGUGACCUCGGGCAAGUUCCUAAUUUCUCUGUGCCCGUUUCCUCUCUGAUAAAGCAAUGUGAUGGG
rnacentral:lncRNA from 1 species